rnacentral:rRNA from 1 species
UAGGGAAUCUUCCGCAAUGGGCGAAAGCCUGACGGAGCAACGCCGCGUGAGUGAUGAAGGUCUUCGGAUCGUAAAACUCUGUUACUAGGGAAGAACAAAUGUGUAAGUAACUAUGCACGUCUUGACGGUACCUAAUCAGAAAGCCACGGCUAACUACGUGCCAGCAGCCGCGGUAAUACGUAGGUGGCAAGCGUUAUCCGGAAUUAUUGGGCGUAAAGCGCGCGUAGGCGGUUUUUUAAGUCUGAUGUGAAAGCCCACGGCUCAACCGUGGAAGGUCAUUGGAAACUGGAAAACUUGAGGGCAGAAGAGGAAAGUGGAAUUCCAUGUGUAGCGGUGAAAUGCGCAGAGAUAUGGAGGAACACCAGUGGCGAAGGCGACUUUCUGGUCUGUAACUGACGCUGAUGUGCGAAAGCGUGGGGAGCAAACAGG